UACGUAGGGUGCUAGAGUUGUCCGGAUUUACUGGGCGUAAAGAGCGUGUAGGCGGCCAAACAGGUCCGUUGUGAAAACUGGAGGCUCAACCUCCAGACGUCGACGGAAACCGUGUGGCUAGAGUCCGGAAGAGGAGAGUGGAAUUCCUGGUGUAGCGGUGAAAUGCGCAGAUAUCAGGAAGAACACCAAUGGCGAAGGCAGCUCUCUGGGACGGUACUGACGCUGAGACGCGAAAGCGUGGGGAGCGAACAGG
rnacentral:rRNA from 1 species